AUGUUCCAGGUAUUUAAGCCACAUGCUGGGGAGGAUUAUAAAUAUCCAAGGGAAACAGAGACCAUCUGGACUCAUCCCUACAUUGUGGAGGGUUCUCACAAAGGUCCUUUGAAGAGCUUGUCACUUCACAUCUGCUGGGCUGCCAUGGCUCCUUCCAUCACAUCCUCACAAGACAGCAUCCUAAGCCAAAGGGACAAAAAAAGGCCUCUCCUUGGACCUAUCGCUUACCAGAAAGAAAAGGUACCAAGGCCUCCACUGGUCUCAUUGGCAAGGACUGAAUCACAUGCCCAUCAAGAUUCACACCCCUGGGCAGGGCUCCCCAUCCCUUGGACAGAAUUGGAGUUGGGGUAACAGGAAAGAAAAGGGUGUUACACAGCGACAAAUGCCCACCACAGGUACCCACAGCCUCUUCCCUUGCUCCUUGGAAGGCCACAAGGAGAAACCCCAUCAUUUUAGAGAGCUUUGGUGUCAUUACAUUUCAAUAAUCAAAGGUCAUUUCCCCUUUUGCCAACCUCCUCAUUGGCAACAAAAUGUGCCUGGGGGCUUUCUUUCUGAAAGUUUACAGAUCCAUCUCCCACCUGCCAACCCAGCACCUGGGCAGUUGUAUUCACUCACAGGUGUCGGGCUGGCAGAUGGGUCUAACAGAAUGGGGGAAGGGGAUUAA